CAUGUACUCCCUCCGUCCGAAAAUACUUGUCGGAGAAAUGGAUAAAUAUGGAUGUAUUUAGAACUAAAAUACAUCUACAUACAUUCAUUCUCACGACAAAUAUUUCCGGACGGAGGGAGUAUUCA
rfam:Triticum aestivum genome assembly, contig: Triticum_aestivum_CS42_TGACv1_scaffold_407673_5BL